rnacentral:lncRNA from 1 species
AGAAAAACACUAUAUAGAAAUAAAACCACCAAAACUCUGCAAAAUGCAACUACAAUGUUAAGAUUAAAGAUAAAAUAAACAUGCAAAUUCAACAUAAAAGAACAUUCACAAGUGAAGUUUUCUCCCCAAGACUCAAAUAAGGCAACAUAAGUUUAAAUAAACAUAUGAAAUGAAGAAAACCAGGAUAUUAAUCUCUUAAGAAGACUCAGCUUCCUAAAUGACUUAACUAGUCCUAAUUAAUCAUACACAUUACAGCCGGCAAAAUGUCCUGUAUCAUUCCAGUAUAUUAGACAAUAGAAGCAAUUGGAAGCUGAAAUAUGCCGUACCAAAUCAAAAGCACUCUACUGCUGCUGGUUUGGAGGGUUUGGAGGAGGUGGCAUCCCAGGACGUGGUGGUCCGAAAACAGGAACAGCACCAGGGGGAGGCGGCAUUCCAGGGCGUGGGGGUGGUGGAGCAGGCAUUCCAGGGCGUGGUGGUGGUGGACCAGGAGGUCCUCUCAUCAUUGAUCCCGGAGGUGGAACCAUUGGCCUCUGACCAUAUUGUGGUGGUGGGACAGGGAAUUGUUGAGGUGGCCUUACUCCAAAAGCAGGUGGUGGUACCUGUGGAGGAGGACCACGUUGCAUCUGAGGAGCCUGUGGUUGACCAGGGUAACCACCAGGUGGCAUUUGUCCAGGUGGACGGAUAACAGGAGGUGCUCCACUAGCAGCAGGGUAAGUCAUAGGCGGAGCUGACAGUUGCGGAACCGGCGGCCGUGAAAUCUGGGGCUGCAUCAUCCCAGGAGCCGGUCCACCAACACCACGAACAGGCCCAGCAAGACCAGGCUGAGCUUGAACAAGAGGACCAGUCGGAAUCCCACGACCAGCAGCACGACCAAUACCCGGUCCAGGAACAGCAUUAGCAGCGGCAGACUUUGAACGCGACUCUUCAGGAGGAGGAGGACCCUCAACAGUCAUAGAAAUAACCUCUUCACCACGAAGAAGAACAAGACCAAGCGUUCUACGAUCUUCACGCUCCUGAUUGGUACUGGGGUUUUUCUUCCCUUUAGCCGGCGGCAACUUACGGAACUCCUCGCAGUCACCGAGGA